UCAGGCUGAAGACCUUACCCGAUUAGCUGAGAGGUGGUGCAUGGCCGUCGUCAGUUCGUACUGUGAAGCAUCCUGUUAAGUCAGGCAACGAGCGAGACCCACGUCCACAGUUGCCAGCAUACCCUCCGGGGUGAUGGGUACACUGUGGAGACCGCCGCUGCUAAAGCGGAGGAAGGAGUGGGCAACGGUAGGUCAGUAUGCCCCGAAUCUCCCGGGCUACACGCGGGCUACAAUGGUUGGUACAAAGGGCAGCGAAACCGCGAGGUCGAGCGAAUCUCAAAAAACCCAUCAUAGUCCGGAUUGCAGUCUGCAACUCGACUGCAUGAAGUUGGAAUCGCUAGUAAUCCCGGAUCAGCAUGCCGGGGUGAAUACGUUCCCGGGCCUU
rnacentral:rRNA from 1 species